rnacentral:rRNA from 1 species
AGAGUUUGAUCCUGGCUCAGAUUGAACGCUAGCGGCAUGCCUAACACAUGCAAGUCGAACGGCAGCACAGUAUUGGGUAACCGAUAUGGGUGGCGAGUGGCAGACGGGUGCGUAACGCGUAGGAAUCUACCUCGUAGCGGGGGAUAACUCGGGGAAACUCGAGCUAAUACCGCAUACACUCUACGGAGAAAAGCUGGGGA